GGAGGAAAGCAGGGGAUCGAAAGACCUUGCGCUUUUGGAGCGGCCGAUGUCUGAUUAGCUAGUUGGUGGGGUAAGGGCCUACCAAGGCGACGAUCAGUAGUUGGUCUGAGAGGACGACCAGCCACACUGGGACUGAGACACGGCCCAGACUCCUACGGGAGGCAGCAGUGGGGAAUUUUGGACAGUGGGCGCAAGCCUGAUCCAGCAAUGCCGCGUGAGUGAAGAAGGCCUUCGGGUUGUAAAGCUCUUUCAGUCGAGAAGAAAAGGCUGCAGUGAAUAACUGUAGUUUAUGACGGUAUCGACAGAAGAAGCACCGGCUAACUACGUGCCAGCAGCCGCGGUAAUACGUAGGGUGCGAGCGUUAAUCGGAAUUACUGGGCGUAAAGGGUGCGCAGGCGGUUUUGUAAGUCAGAUGUGAAAUCCCCGGGCUUAACCUGGGAAUUGCGUUUGAAACUACAAAGCUAG
rnacentral:rRNA from 1 species